UACGGGGGGGGCAAGCGUUGUUCGGAAUUACUGGGCGUAAAGGGUUUGUAGGUGGCUUGUUAAGUCAGACGUGAAAUCCCUCAGCUUAACUGGGGAACUGCGUCUGAUACUGGCGAGCUUGAGUGCAGGAGAGGAACGCGGAAUUCCAGGUGUAGCGGUGAAAUGCGUAGAUAUCUGGAGGAACACCGGUGGCGAAGGCGGCAUCCUGGACCGAGAUUGACGCUGAUGCGCGAAAGCCAGGGGAGCAAACGGG
rnacentral:rRNA from 1 species